AGGACGAACGCUGGCGGCGUGCCUAACACAUGCAAGUCGAGCGAGGGCCAUCUGGUGGCAACACCAGGGAAGCCCGAGCGGCGAACGGGUGAGUAACACGUGGGUGACCUGCCCUUAGCUCUGGGAUAAGCCUGGGAAACUGGGUCUAAUACCGGAUAUGACCUCAUGACGCAUGUUGUGGGGUGGAAAGCCUUGUGCGGCUAGGGAUGGGCCCGCGGCCUAUCAGCUUGUUGGUGGGGUGAUGGCCUACCAAGGCGACGACGGGUA
rnacentral:rRNA from 1 species